AAGCCGUGGUGUGGGCAUUGGUUAGUGUAGCUUCUAAACCGUUCCAAAGCUUCACUAAAGCUCUCGUUAUUGUUCUGCGUGAAACUUGAGAUCUGAUUCCUGAGCUU
rnacentral:snoRNA from 1 species